AAUACGGAAGGUCCGGGCGUUAUCCGGAUUUAUUGGGUUUAAAGGGAGCGUAGGCCGGAGAUUAAGCGUGUUGUGAAAUGUAGACGCUCAACGUCUGCACUGCAGCGCGAACUGGUUUCCUUGAGUACGCACAAAGUGGGCGGAAUUCGUGGUGUAGCGGUGAAAUGCUUAGAUAUCACGAAGAACUCCGAUUGCGAAGGCAGCUCACUGGAGCGCAACUGACGCUGAAGCUCGAAAGUGCGGGUAUCGAACAGGAUUAGAUACCCUGGUAGUUCGCACGGUAAACGAUGGAUGCCCGCUGUUGGUCUGAAUAGGUCAGCGGCCAAGCGAAAGCAUUAAGCAUCCCACCUGGGGAGUACGCCGGCAACGGUGCAACUCAA
rnacentral:rRNA from 1 species